UCCUUUUUCGAUAAUAAUUCAUGGAGAGUGAUUGGAUGAGACAUUUUCAAGUACGUGUAGCACCUAGAAGGUUCACGUAUAUAGAUCACCAACGCCACCUUCUCCACUCCAUACACACACAGCACAAGUAACGGUACAGUACGGGAUGUACACGUACUACCUACAGCACAAAUAAAAGACAGGCAGCUAGCGCGCAUGUAUCAUCUCACCACAGUUAUUAACAAAUUAUAAGCUAAUAAGCUCCUUUACUACACCGAAAUUAAACAACAAGUACACAGCUGAGCAAUUCUCUCUUGUCCGCCGGACUGCCGGAGCGUGCUGCGGCGUGCAUGCCUGCCUAGUCGCAGCACAUCUCGCAGAUCCAGCAGCAGCAGAGCGCCGCGAUGCUGAAACCAAAGCAGGGACAAGUCAGUUGAUCCAUCAGGUUUUGGUUCCAAAACAAAGCUAGCUUCCAGUUUUGUUAUUAUCAGAGAUACUACUGACGACGACAUGGAUAUAUAACACUGACUCCUAAACAAUCGGAUUCUGUUUAUCGUUGUUAUUAGUUGGGAAUUAACCAGAAGAAGAUCGAUUACAGUAAUUACCAUCCUUCGAUGAAGCCUUUCUCCCCACGCGAGGUCGUCUUCCCCCGGCGUCCCUUCCUGCCUCCCUGCUCCUCCGCGCCUGCAGCCGCCGUCGGGUAGCCUGCAUGCCAUGUCAGGUCAGCAUGUGUCCAUCCACCGUUCCACACGCAUGAUGAUUCAUGAAUAUGAAUGAACAAGCUAAGAACAAUCCAGCCAUGAUGAAAUUGAUCAAAGGUUUUGUUGGUUGUCGGAUAUGCUAGCCAUUUACUAGUGUUUUUCUCUCGCAACAAAUCAGCAAACAAUAUUUUCAGCCAUGUUAUGCGGACUCGGACUCGGAGAUAAUAAUCGGAUCCUCUGACCUGGUGGUGGCGGCGGCGCCUGCUGCCUGUUGCCGUUGUUCUCCAUCUUUGUCUCCUCGCUUCUAUCUAGCUAGAGCACGCUCGGCGAUGCUGUAGUGAUCAGCAGUGGAUUUCAGCUCUCACGGUCGGGUAUGGUGCGUGGUUUGCCUGCUUGGUGGUGUUGCCACGCCCCGGGUUUUAUAUAGGCUACGCGCUACCUGCAAUCCAGCUGCAGGGGCAGUGUCCAAUGUGUUGGUUGCUGCUACGUUCUUUCCUUGCCGGUUGCCGCCUUGGUUUUCUUCAAGGUAAGGUCAAGAUAAGGCCAGCCUGCUGUGUGACCACUGACCAAUGGAGAGGCAAGGGUCGGCGAAGGCUGUCAUCGUUUGCCUUUCCCUUUCCAGCACGUCUCGCUCGGCAUGCAGUCAGAGAUUGACAACUCGCUGAUUCCCUGUUUGACACACAAGGCAAAUAAAGUGGCAGGGCUUAGCAGCUUCGUUCUUCGACGAUUUUAACAAAGAAUACGUGUGUGUUCUGCUGUUAAUUACUUACACUUGUCUCCUGCCCUAGCCUUUUGCUUUCGCAAAGAGAUCAGAAACAAAACGAAUAAAGCCCUGCUAGCCAUCGGGCCUACACGCAUGCAAUGGCCAAGUUAAGUCUGUCCGGCGAUGCGGUUCGUUCGUCGAUCGGUGGCUGCUGGCUCCGGCUGCGCCGGCUGGCCGGAGGAAACAGCGCAAAGCUCCGGCAGUGGCACGUCACAAAGCCCUGCCACUGACCUUGGAGCUGCGCCUUUCUCAUGCAAGCCUGACGUGGAUGAGAUAUUCAGAUCAUGAAGAAUCAGGUUCCGUCCAGAAUGGAGAGGAAAGGAUGAGAUGCAAAGUGCAACCUUUGCUUGUUCACACCAGAUCAUGUUGGCCUGGCCUGGCCUGGUUGUUGUUGUUGGUUAGACAAAGCGGAUUGAAUUAAUUGUUUUCCUCUCAUCUGAUGAUCCAACCUCUCCCCAACUACUGUAUGAACUAUUUAUUCCCCGAGACCGAGCACAGGGGAUCCUAUAUAUCUCUUUUUUGUUAUUAUUGUUGUUGUCUCGAUCGAUCGGCUAGCUUCUUCCACAUCAGUAGGCCGUCAUCGCUGUGCAUUCGUCGUACGUACAAUGCAACGGUGACCUGAAGAAACGGUUGGUUCCUGAUCGUGAUCGAUGACCCAACCGGGUUAAAGAAAACCCAGGCAGGUCGAGUGUGAAGUGAACCUGUGCUUCACCCGUCCGUGUCUGAUCUGACUGGAAUUGCAGCGACCACUGGUGCCAUGCAUCUCCAAUUCUCCAUAGCACAGUAGCUUUCAUUUCAUGGAUCCAUGGCUGCGCUGCGCAUCAGAAACUUUGCCGUUAGGUGCCAUGAAGAUCGAAAUCUGAACUCGGAAUUCCCCGACCUGGAUGGACGGCCUUUCGGCUGUCGGCCACGGCAUAUGCUCACCUCGAUCCAUCGCGCAAUUCCCGCCAUCCAGUGAAUCCGUUCGGCCUAGGGCGGUACCGACGUAAAUCUCUGACAUUCUGCCCGAGAACUUGAAAGUUUUGUGAAAAAUUGAUUGAAACUUGAAAAAUCCGAAUGGAUCUUAUUCCGAAUAAAAACGAAAUUGCUGAUAUGCCCAUUUGUUCUUAUCCUAAUGAUGAGAUGCGGAAAUUAUAUUUACCCUGUAGCGUCCGAGACACAUGAAGACAGCCAAAGCAGAGGGAGACCAAGAGCGACACGGAGCCCUCAGGAUGCGACCAGACCAACCAUGGACGUGCCCUGCGGCCGGCCGGCCGGCGGCGGCUUGGCGCCCGCUGGAACCUGCAUGCACGCGGAGCGCGACGGCGGGGAGAUGCCGUGCCGCCGUUCGCCGUCGGUCUCGAACCCCACGAAGUCAGGUACAUGCAUUCAGUCCAGCAGUGGUAUGGUAUAUGGUUGCAGUUCGGUUGCACGGGUCAGUCAAAGGAUCAACGUUCGGU
rnacentral:lncRNA from 1 species